AUACUUACCUGGAGGGGGAGAUACAUGAUCAAGAAGGUGGUUCACCCAGGGCGAGGCGCUUAACAUUGCACUCGGGUUAUGCUGCCCUGACGAAUUCCCCAAAUGUGGGAAUCUCGACUGCAUAAUUUUGUGUAGUGGGGGACUGCGUUCGCGACUCUGCA